rnacentral:rRNA from 1 species
UCGACCUGAGCUCAGGCAAGACCACCCGCUCAACUUAAGCAUAU